rnacentral:rRNA from 1 species
GACGCUGGCGGCGUGCCUAACACAUGCAAGUCGAACGGAGAUAUGAUUUCGGUUAUAUCUUAGUGGCGAACGGGUGAGUAACGCGUGAGCAACCUGACCUUCAGAGGGGGAUAACACUUGGAAACAGGUGCUAAUACCGCAUAAGACCACGACCCGACAUCGGGAUGCGGUCAAAGGAGCAAUCCGCUGAGGGAGGGGCUCGCGUCCCAUUAGAUAGAUGGCGGGUAACGGCCCACCAUGUCGACGAUGGGUAGCCGAGCUGAGAGGCUGAUCGGCCACACUGGAACUGAGACACGGUCCAGACUCCUACGGGAGGCAGCAGUGGGGAAUAUUGGGCAAUGGGCGCAAGCCUGACCCAGCAACGCCGCGUGAGGGAAGAAGGCCUUCGGGUUGUAAACCUCUGUCCUUGGUGACGAAACAAAUGACGGUAGCCAAGGAGGAAGCCCCGGCUAACUACGUG